ACAUGCAAGUCGAGGGGCAGCAUUUACUUCGGUAAAUGGCGACCGGCGCACGGGUGAGUAACGCGUAUGCAACCUACCUUUAACUGGGGCAUAGCUCGAGGAAACUCGAAUUAAUUCCCCAUAGUACAUUAUAAUAUCUCAUGAUAUAAAUGUUAAAGAUUUAUCGGUUAAAGAUGGGCAUGCGUCUGAUUAGUUUGUUGGUAAGGUAACGGCUUACCAAGACUACGAUCAGUAGGGGGUCUGAGAGGAUGAUCCCCCACACUGGUACUGAGACACGGACCAGACAUCUACGGAUGGCAGCAGUAAGGAAUAUUGGGCAAUGGGCGCAAGCCUGACCCAGCCAUGCCGCGUGCAGGAUGACGACCCUAUGGGUUGUAAACUGCUUUUAUAUAGGAAGAAAAUACUCUUGCGAGAGGAUCUGACGGUACUAUAUGAAUAAGGACCGGCUAACUCCGUGCCAGCAGCCGCGGUAAUACGGAGGGUUCAAGCGUUUUCCGGAUUUAUUGGGUUUAAAGAGUGCGUAGGUGGUUUAUUAAGUCAGUGGUGAAAUCCUGCAGCUCAACUGUAGAACUGCCAUUGAUACUGGUAAACUUGAGUUUGGUUUAGGUAAGCGGAAUUUAUGAUGUAGCGGUGAAAUGCAUAGAUAUCAUAAGGAACACCAAUAGCGAAGGCAGCUUACUGGACCACAACUGACACUGAGGCACGAAAGCGUGGGUAGCGAACAGGAUUAGAUACCCUGGUAGUCCACGCCGUAAACGAUGCUCACUCGAUGUUAGCGAUAUACUGUUAGCGUCCAAGCUAAAGCGUUAAGUGAGCCACCUGGGGAGUACGCCGGCAACGGUGAAACUCAAAGGAAUUGACGGGGGUCCGCACAAGCGGUGGAGCAUGU
rnacentral:rRNA from 1 species